ensembl:lncRNA
GCCGCCAUCCGCCCUCCGCCGGGGCCCUCCCGCCUCGUUGGUGCCCGGGGGCUCGGCGGGAUGACGCGGCUCCCUCCGUGGUGUGGGACCUGAGCCGCCGUGGGUGAGCGCCUGCCCGGGGUGGGGUGGAUGGGGGGUGGAGGGUUCCGGGCCUCGCCCGGCCCUAUCGAAGCUGCGCCUGCCGUGCGCUGUGGCAGCCGCAGUCAAAAAGGAGCCCAGAGCCACGCGUUUUCCUCGACGGUCGCUGCGCGGUUUGGUCUUCUGUAACCGCCCAGCAACAAAUGGGGAAACUACAGGGGCCGGGUCAGCGGCGCAGGGACUCCACCGCAGUGCUCUCAGGCAUUGGUGGCACCGAACCUGUGCUUCUGGGCCCGCGUUUGGAGGGGUGGUGGCGGGUGGGGCGCAGCACAGCGUUACCGUGCCUUUAAAUGCUUUUCUGUCUAAGGAGCGCUUGGGAGAGGCUGAGAGCUUCUGAGACCCCGUGGAGGGUUUUGGUUUGCUUUGCUUAAGGCUGAAAUUGUGGAGAAACUGAAGUGGAGUGUGUCAGUGUCCCCUGUGAGUAAUUGCCUGGCAUUGCUGGGGGUUGGAGUGAGUUCUUGUCAGUGCUUGUUGACAAAGGGCAGUGGGAAUACGGUUUGCAGGUGGGAAUUAUAAACUCGAUUAAAGGUCUGUAAUUGGGUGGCCUCAUUUGUAGGGCAGAGCCCCUGUGGGAUGAGCUGUUCCCUAAUGUUGCUCCAAGCACAGCCUGGUCAGUGAUGACACCUUUCUUUGGAGACUGCUGGAUGAAUCCUGCGGAUAUGGGGCUGAGGCCAGGCUGCAGCAUCAGCUGAAGUCACUGCACACUGUCACACUGCACUUCAUUCAAAAUGAAUUCUUUUC